UGAUUGCAUUUGCUUGGUAACAGCCCAAAUGCAAGUGUCUGACUUAAAAGAUGGUGCACACUUUUAGAAAAAAAUGGCAUAAAGGUUAAAAAAAAAAAAAAAGCCUCAGCUGUCAGCACACUUAGAAAUAAGAUAUCAGCACAAUAACACACACAGCAAAAUAUUGUCUAAUUUUCGUUAUCGAUAAAAUCCCAGAAAUCACAGAGAUAUCAUUUUUUUGUCAAUAUUGCAAACCCUUUAUUUAUUUUUUGAUGUGCCACCCCAAGAUUUACUGUGGCCUCAUCUGGCCACCCCUAUUAAAAUUUUCUGGGGGCGCCACUGCUUCGAGAGUCAUUCAAACCUCAUUCAGCUUCGUAAAUCAAUACCUUAUCAAACGUUUUGAAUUCAGUCAUGUGUUUCCAGCUGUACAAAGUUAGGAAUUAAAUGAGUAUGUGUUUAAAUCAGUCUAUGAAGUGUGUUUGUGAAUGAUUGACAGGGACGAGCUCCUCUCUACGAUCGGCAGCGAAGGCUGUGUGUGCGGUGGAAGAAUAAAGGUGAUUUAGAGACUCCCUUAAAAUCAUUUGUCCUGCAUUCAUACAGACAACUUACUACAGAUAAUUUAUCAAUCCUCAUCUAUAUCUGCCUGUUUAACAGCCCACAGUGUGCACAUACUGCCAGCACGUUUACAUUUAGACAAUCCUGUAUCAUCUGAGAUCGACUGUGAUGUGUAUUUCUGUAGUUCUCUUCAGAAGGUGUGUGUGCACGAUCAGACAGACUCUGUUGUUGUGUUUAGUUUGUUUGCUCUCUGCGCAGGAAACGAGAACAAGUGAUGUGUAUUGUCUCUUCAUGGACGUGGUCAGAAAUGUAAGAGACGUUCCUCACUGGUCUGUAUAAGUCUGGAGUGUUAGGAGUGUGUGAUCUUCAUGAAGCUCGUCUCGUCUGGUGUUUGCAGGGUUGGGUUGGCUCUGGCUCCUGUGGGACGCUCAUGGCACACGCUUACAGUCGUGUCAGACUCGUCUCUUUCUGUUCGGAGUACUCAGUGUGGACUGCAGACCCAUGAGUAUAACACACGCAAAAAACUCAACUUUAAACAAGAGUACAGUUUAAAAAAAACAAACUUUCUUUCUCCUCAGGUGACGGCUGGAUAUUUAAUCUGGAGACAAAAGGAUGGACAGAGAUGGACAAACCACGGCUGUGGCACAGCGCUUGUCAAAGAAGAGACUCGGAUGUUGUUGUGUUUGGAGGAAGUCAUGAUGAUAUCCUCUCAGUGA
ensembl:lncRNA